CUUGAACGUCAUCGUGGCGACAAUGGCGCCUCUCCUUCCCUCUUUUCUCUCUCUCUCUCUCUCUCGCCACUGACCUGACGCCGAAAGGAAAAGCGCGACGAGCAACGGCCGCUCGCCAGCUAUGGCCAAUCAAGAGACGGAUUCAACAUGUCAUUGCAAUAUACAAUUUUCAAUGUUGUUGACAGCAACCAGACUGAAAAUCACCAAGAAAAGGAAAUCAAGAGACAACCAACCCUUGAGAACUGGCUUAAAAGAUUAUGGUGUACUUUUCCAUUCCUGAAAAGUUGACAUUUGAAUUAAGGUCUUUGCAUAAUGGAAACCAGUAUGACAACUUUGUUUCAGUACAGUAUAAAUUUAUUCUUUUUGCGUAUGAAGAAACAUCAACAGCAAAAACAGCUGCAGUUGGGAGAAACCCAUUUUAACAGGCAUGCGAUUGCCUACACAAGGCAAGGUGUGAAGGGCCCACAUACUUUACAAUGAUGUGUAUUAAGAACUUUUUCUGCAUUUGUUCUGAUGGAAUACUUUUUCUAUUGCUGCCAAAACAUGAAAAUAAAAUAUUUUUUUUCAAAAAGGAA